rnacentral:rRNA from 1 species
AUGUCUUAGGGGUUGUACUUGUGUGAAAGGGUUAAUGAGACCGCUAAAGGCCGUAAAGAAAACGGCAAGGAGAGCAAGACGAAGUUUAAGCCGAGGUUUUAGCAUAAGGUAGGUGUCUAGACGUCUAACGGGUGAAACUUACGAAUUAAUGAAGACUUAAGUUCUAUGGUAACUUGUAGUUCGGUUCCGAUGGAAACACCAGUUGUUCAAACAAUUUUAGAAAAUAACGAGAACUGAGAUACGUACCGCUUUUUUUGCUCAAACCGUCUGAUGGAUACUUUGUGUAGAGAAGUUGGGGAAAGUUACUAAGUUACUUACUAAAGCGACAACUUGAUGGUCUUCAAUAGAAUGUCAUAUAACUGUUGUUUAAGGGAAGUAAAGUCCUAUUAGACCUCUUUAGAGAAGAUGUUCGUAGGUCGGUUUCUAAGACCCUUUGUGAACAUUGUUUGAUGUAGGGUUGUGACUCUUGUAUGUAGCUGCUACAGUUUACAAGUAAGAGGUUUUUUUCACGAUGAUGGUCUAUAAGUUAAUUUGUUCUUUGUUUUUCAAACGGUCGUUGAUCAAGGGGUCACUGAAGACCGUAUCGUCUUAAUACACAGGGGUUCAGACAUCCACUAGAACUGGUUCGAUAUUUGAGAAAUAAUUUGAGUCUACUUAAGAACGUAAACUUUUUACUAAGUUUACAAUCACGUGGUUGAGACUUUCUCGUGAGCUUUCGUCGUAAACUAAAUAAACACGUUCUAACGUGACUAGGACUUCCUUACUUACUCAAUCGUUUGACACCACAAGAUAAGGGUUUCUAGAACGGUUGGAAACUUCUUGAAAAGUUCUAUCUCUUCUACGGCUGUCUAUAUUGAUAACUUGUGGAAUUAGGGAACCUGCCAAGAAUAAAGAAGGAAAGAUAAUCUUUUCUAAUAUAUUAGUGGAAAGAAAUCAGUGAUAUUGUUGUGACUAAGAUAAUAAAAGAAAUGUUUUUAUGCGUCACGGGAUUUACUAUUACUACUUUUGAGGGCAAGAAAUGAAAAGAUACAACAACAUUUUAUAAAGGAGUUAGAAAAGAUUAAAAUUGAACGUCACGAUGUUCUAAUACAGUCUUCGGUCGAAUCGUGUUCUCAAGGCGUUUUAUUUGUUUUUCUACUCACCUAUUUACUCUUCAAGUCGUAUUGAGUUAAGUUUAAACAUCGUUUAUUAGUUUCGAUGUUUCGUACUAAAAGUCCGCGAUGCUCUUUAAAAAUACAAGCUCUAACGAUGAACGACGUUGUUGGUUCAUGUCGAUGGAUAACAGUUCAGAAAGGAGGUUUUGGUACCCAUGGCAGAGAAGUUAAUUUGUUAAAAGAAGACCACAAAGGACGAAAAAGGUUGAAAGUAUACCACAACGAUGUUGUUUUUAAGUUUCCAAGUUCUUAUAAGUCUAGUUCUAAAAAAACGUAAAGGUUGUCUAAGUUUCCAAGUUCUUAGAAGUGUAGUUUCUUCAAUAAACAUCUUGGUACAUUAUAUAAAAGAUCCUCGUUGUAAAAGGGGGAUUAUACCCAAUAAAGAAAAAGGUAAAAGUCGAAUGCGGAA